rnacentral:misc_RNA from 1 species
GUAGGUGAACCUGCGGAAGGAUCAUUAACGAGUAAGGGUGCUUGCGCCCGACCUCCAACCCUUUGUUGUUAAAACACCUUGUUGCUUUGGCAGGACCGCCGGCCACUUCACUGUGGUCGGCUGCCGGUCUUCGGCCCGGCAAGCGCCUGCCAGAGUCAAACCAAAAAACUCUUGUUAUUAACCGGCCGUCUGAGUUGAUUAUUAAAUAAAUCAAAACUUUCAACAACGGAUCUCUUGGUUCUC